AUCAGAUGUCAAGUCUAUCUGUAUGAGUUUCCUCAGUGUUUCUUCAGAGCUUUUUGGAGGUCCAUCUACCUUGUCAAAUACUGACUMUGCCUGUUUGAGCUGAAUGAUUUCUUAGUUAUUGACAACUGCGUACGCUUGGGUGAACCUGGCUGGAGCACUCGCAAAUAAGGCKCAAAGAUCUGCAGCACAAGUUCUUCAGAGCUUGUCUGAGAAGAUCCUCAUCUGGAAGGCAAUCAGCAUCUCUGUCUGUUUGCGAAGAGUUGCUACUGCUAUCUAAGCCCUGGGAUAAGGAGCCGAUCUCAGACCCUGUCUGUGCUGAACUGCUAAGAAGAGGAAGAGAAGAGGCAGAAGCCUCCGGCAUUUAUAGAUUGGCACCACCACGCCAAGCCYGUUCGUUGGCCGCUUCAGCAGGGAGGCGGAGGAGUGGAAAGGCUGAGGGUGCUGAGCACCGUUCCUCCGGGGCAGCCCCACGGUGUUGUGGUGAGGCCGGAGGUGAGGCUGGCAGGACCGGGUCGAUCUGUGGGUCCUGCAGCUCUCGCAGGGCUCUGGGGAGCAUCCGCUCCUAGAACUCAUGCCUGGCAAUUGCGUGCUGUUAGGGGACAGUGCUGCUAUCAGAAAGGAC
rnacentral:lncRNA from 1 species